rnacentral:rRNA from 1 species
AUUGAACGCUGGCGGCAGGCCUAACACAUGCAAGUCGAACGAGUGGCGGACGGGUGAGUAAUGUCUGGGAAACUGCCCGAUGGAGGGGGAUCUCUACUGGAAACGGUAGCUAAUACCGCAUACUCUCGGAUGCGCACAGAUGGGAUUAGCUAGUAGGUGGGGUAACGUCUCACCUAGGCGACGACCCCUAGCUGGUCUGAGAGGAUGACCAGCCACACUGGAACUGAGACACGGUCCAGACUCCUACGGGAGGCAGCAGUGGGGAAUAUUGCACAAUGGGCGCAAGCCUGAUGCAGCCAUGCCGCGUGUAUGAAGAAGGCCUUCGGGUUGUAAAGUACUUUCAGCGAGGAGGCGUUACUCGCAGAAGAAGCACCGGCUAACUCCGUGCCAGCAGCCGCGGUAAUAC